rnacentral:lncRNA from 1 species
CCAUUUUAUAGAUUAGAAGUCUGAGGCACAGAUUUAUAUAAUUAGUAAAUUGUAGAACUGGUAUUUAGAUCCAAAGUUACACGUUUUUCUGCAAUACCAUUCUGUCUCUCUGAAAGCACACUCCUGACCACCAGAUACAUGACCACCAUCACCACAUGCACUUGUAUUCUGUUCAUGCCCAUCAAACAUAAACCUACUAAAAAUACAAAAAAUUAGCCGGGCGUGGUGGCGGGCGCCUAUAGUCCCAGCUACUCGGGAGGCUGAGGCAGGAGAAUGGCGUGAACCCAGAAGGCGGAGCUUACAUGAGCCGAGAUGGCGCCACUGCACUCCAGUGUGGGCGACAGAGCGAGACUCCUCUCAAAAGAAAAAAAAAAAAAUUAGCUGAGCGUGGUGGCAGGCGCCUGUAAUCUCAGCUACUCAGGAGGCUGAGGAAGGAGAACUGCUUGAACCCGGGAGGCAGAGGUUGCAGUGAGCCGAGAUCGCGCCAUUAAACUCCAGCAUGGGCAACAAGAGCAAAACCCCGUCUCAAAAAAAAAAAAAAAAAAAAAGAAAAUGGGCCGGGCGUGGUGGCUCACACCU